CUCUGCCCAAGGAAGCUUUUAAUUCCCUUAAGACCAAGCCAAAAAUGAACUGGCUUCAACUAGCUGGGUCUGGGCUGGCCUCUUAAUUCAGGAAAACAGGAUCCUUAGACAGUCUUUCUGGGAAAUUUACAGGGAGGUGGGGGUGUAGCAGGCCCAUCACAUCCCUUCUCCCUCAGGUUCCAAGGAACAAGUCAGUCAAUGCCCUCUGCCCUGCAAGCUCUCCUCAGGGGAGCAGCAGGGAGAGAGAGAAUCUGUAGUCUCCUAAGGUCACACAGCACGUCAAUCUAGGUCCUCACUGAGCCCGCAGAGAUCCCAUAAUCUAGAAGGUUCGGCCUGCUCCCAGGACCCUGCUGAUCACCCCACCCACACCCACAGUUGGGCCA
rnacentral:lncRNA from 1 species